AACCGCUGUGCAGGCAACGUGGAAAUUGACUAUUUUGGAAUUAAUGUGAAAGUGUGUGGUUUCCUGUGGGACAUGGACGAUGCUCAGGUUGUGUGCAGGCAGCUUGACUGCGGCUCGCCUGUCAGCGUGAUGGACUAUUUCCCCUCAAGCGAUUCGUAUCCGUGGUACCAGAGGACCGCGGUGGCUUGCGACGGUUCUGAAACCUCUUUGCUGUUUUGCCCUUAUCAAUCUGUGUCCUCCAACUGCCAUCACGGGGCUGCUUCUGUCAUCUGCUCAGUCUCGUGACUAACAGAGCCUGCAAUGAAAGUACCAGAUAGCCCCAGAUUGACUCCCGCUGUUCCUCAACUUCAGAACUGGACUCUUUUGGCAUCCUGGAGAACAUGAAUUCAGCUCCUGCUCCAAUUGAUAUCUCUCAUACUCCAUUUAUUACUGCUGCCAUGGCCCUGACAGCUGCUGUUUUCACUCUUGUUGAGUUUCUUUUGAAACAUAUAGUGAAGAAAUCAAUUCCAUAUCAGAUCGCAUGAGAUUUGGUAAGCAUCUGCAGCUGAUCACAUUGGUUGAGUAAUUUGGUGGAUUGAGUAAUGUCCUUGCAUUGAGUAAUCUCCUUGAUAAUUCAAGAUUAAAAGCUUUCUGUGGUGAUAGAUAACCUCAUGGGAAGGGAUGAGCGACAUAACUCAGCACUGAAUGAAGCCAGAAGACCAGCGAAGGUUUGCAGCUAAGUAACAACCUUCAAAUUAGUCAGUUGCCACCUACAAUAUUAGGCUGUCAAAUCUUAACACUCUAUCGGAGAAUCAGCUUCCUCCUCUCAAGAUGGAUAUCUGGACUCUGCCAGUGACAAAUAUAACCUGAGUUGAGAGGAACCCACAUGGCCAGCUCUUGCUCCACACCAAACAAGAGUUUGUUUCCAGUUUCCUCAGAUGUAAAUUAAGAUCAAUAGUCCUUCCUUUCCACAGGGGAGUUGUGAGUCCGUCAGACAAUGUGUGCUGCAUGACAACCAGUAACAGGACCUGUCUAAGUACCUCUGAAAGGCAACGAAUUGCAACUCCACAAUAAAUCGCAAUGUGAUACAAUGUGUGUAAUUCAAUUUACCCUUCAGGCAAGGCUAGGACUAUUGAAGCUUCCCUGCAAUGUUUUCUGUUGCCACUCCAGUGCUAGUAGGCAAAAUAUUUGAAUACAAGUACUGCUAUUAUACUUUAAUGAGAUUUCUUUUAAGUCCUGUUCUAUCACUUCAGAUUUUCUGAGGUGGAGAUUAAAUUUUGCAUGGCAUAAUCAGAUGUUCCAGAUGGAGAAAGUUUUAUGCAGCUAAAAUACCUAGACAAGCAUAUGUGACUGAAAAAAAACAAUAAUAGAAAGUAAUGAUUCUUCCAAUUGCAUAUGGAUCCUUCUGCACGAUGUCUGAAUAUUUUGUGACUAGUUCUUCAGGAAGAUCCUUCUUGUUGAGAAAAUGUAGAUUUGAGCUAUUUUCAAUUAUGGCUGAUUUCCAGUAUAAAAUAUGUAAUCACAAAAUCAGGAAGUUUCUAGUGUGAUGUUUCUGCUUUUAUUCCUGCAACUGUCUCUGCAUUUGAAUUCAAAAGUUUUCCUGUUUCAAUGAGCAUCAUCUAAAAUAAAAUUUUCCAAGCAA